rnacentral:lncRNA from 1 species
GUGGGAAAGUAGGUAGAGGUGGGGGCUUGAAAUGAGGCGGAAAAUUAGGAUGUUUAUGAUGUGGUGGAGGCUUGAAGGUAAAUGGAGAUGGUGGGGAUUCUAUCGGAGGAACUGAUCCUGGUGGUGGCGGUGGACAUGUGUUAAUAUAAUGAGGUGGACCCGAGUAUGACGGUGGUGAUGGAGUUGGUGAGGGGGAACUUUUCGGGGGAGAUUUAUAGACGUAAGGUGAUGGUGAAGGUGAGGGAGAUGGUUGUUCUUUGGAUGGAGAUGGGGGAGAUUUGUAGACGUAAGGCGAUGGAGGAGAUUCAGUUGGGGGUGUUGAUGGUGAACUUGAUGGAGGGGGUUUGUAGGUGAAGGGCGAUGGAGGAGUUUCGGGGGAAGAUGAUGUUGGAGGAGGUGUUAGGCAUGCAUUGAUCGGAGGUGAUGGUGGAGGAGGAGGUGUUAGGCAUGCAUUGAUCGGAGGUGAUGGUGAUGGUGAAGUUGAUGGCGGAGACUUAUAGACGUAAGGAGAUGGAGGAGAUUCUUUUGGUGCCGGAGAUGGAGAUGGUGGAGAUUUAUAUACAAAAGGUGAUGGAGGAGAUUCUUUUGGUUUUGGAGAUGGAGAGGGGGAGGAUGAUGGUGGAGAUUUGUAGACAAAAGGAGAUGGAGGGGAUUCUUUAGGAGUUGAAGGAGAAGAGGGUGGUGGUGGGGGACAAGUGUUGAUAUAGUGAGGUGGAGCUUCAUGUGAAGGUGUUGAUGGACUUGGUGAUGGAGAGGAUGAUGGUGGAGAUUUGUAGACAAAAGGGGCAGGACCAGAUUCAGUUGGUGGAGGUGGUGAGACAUACACGUAUUUUUUAGGUGGUGGAGGUGGUGAGACAUACACGUAAGGAGCUUUUUUAGGUGGUGGUGGUGUAGAUGCAACCAGGGGUGCUGGUGGAAUUUCCUUAACUGGUGGAGGUGGGGAGAGAAAGAGGUGAGGUGGAGGCGGGGAAGGUGAAGGUGGAGGCGGGGAAGGUGGUGGUGAAGGCGGGGGAGGUGAGGGUGGAGGUGGCGAAGGUGGUGGUGAAGGCGGGGGAGGUGAGGGUGGAGGAGGCGAAGGUGGUGGUGAAGGCGGGGGAGGUGAGGGCGGAGGAGGUGAAGGUGGUGGAGAAGGCGGUGGAGGUGAAGGUGGAGGAGGCGAAUGUGGUGGUGACGGUGGUGGAGGUGAAGGAGGGGGCGGCGAAUGCACUGGCGGUGGUGGAGAGGGAGUCGAUGGUGGUGGCGGAGAGGUAUAAGUAUACGGCGGAGGGGAGGCCGGUGGUGGUGGAGAAACAUAACUAUAAGCUGGCCUCCCUUCCACCGCAAAACUACUCAAG